rnacentral:rRNA from 1 species
GACGAACGCUGGCGGCGUGCCUAAUACAUGCAAGUAGAACGCACAGUUUAUACCUUAGCUUGCUACACCAUAAACUGUGAGUUGCGAACGGGUUAGUAACGCUUAGGUAACCUGCCUGGUAGCUGGGGAUAACUAUUGCAAACGCUAGCUAAUACCGCAUAAUAUUUAUUAUUGCUUGAUAAUUGAUUGCAAGAUGCUAUUGCAUCACUACCAGAUGGCCCUGCGUUGUAUUAGCUAGUAGGUGAGGUAACGGCUCACCUAGGCGACGAUACAUAGCCGAACGGAGAGGGGGAGCGGCCACACUGGGACGGAGACACGGCACAGACGGCUACGGGAGGCAGCAGGAGGGAAACGUCGGCAAGGGACGAAAGACUGAGCGAGAAACGCCGAGUGAGGGAAGAAGGUUGUCGGAUCGGAAAGGACGGUUGUAAGAGAAGAACGGGUGUGAGAGUGGAAAGUUCACAGUGUGACGGUAACUUACCAGAAAGAGACGGCUAACUACGUG